rnacentral:rRNA from 1 species
UACAGAGGUCUCAAGCGUUGUUCGGAUUUACUGGGCGUAAAGGGCGCGUAGGCGGCAUGACAAGUCACUUGUGAAAUCUCCGGGCUUAACUCGGAACGGUCAAGUGAUACUGUCGCGCUAGAGUGCGGAAGGGGCAAUCAGAAUUCUUGGUGUAGCGGUGAAAUGCGUAGAUAUCAAGAGGAAUACCUGAGGUGAAGACGGGUUGCUAGGGCGACACUGACGCUGAAGCGCGAAAGCCAGGGGAGCAAACGGG